ACGGGAGGCAGCAGUGAGGGAUAUUGCGCAAUGGAGGAAACUCUGACGCAGCGACGUCGCGUGAAGGAAGAAGGUUCUCGGAUUGUAAACUUCUGUCCUCAGGGAAGAAACAAAUGACGGUACCUGGGGAGGAAGCCCCGGCUAACUACGUGCCAGCAGCCGCGGUAAUACGUAGGGGGCUAGCGUUGUCCGGAAUUAUUGGGUGUAAAGGGCGCGUAGGCGGCUUUGCAAGUCGAACGUGAAAUCUGUAAGCUUAACUUACAGUCUGCGUUUGAAACUGUAGGGCUUGAGUGAAGUAGAGGCAAGUGGAAUUUCCAGUGUAGCGGUGAAAUGCGUAGAUAUUGGAAGGAACACCAGUGGCGAAGGCGGCUUGCUGGACUUUGACUGACGCUGAGGCGCGAAAGCGUGGGUAGCAAACAGGAUUAGAUACCCUGGUA
rnacentral:rRNA from 2 species